AUACGGAGGAUCCGAGCGUUAUCCGGAUUUAUUGGGUUUAAAGGGUGCGCAGGCGGCCAUUUAAGUCAGCGGUUAAAUCGUGGGGCUCAACCCCAUUCUGCCGUUGAUACUGGGUGGCUUGAUUGCGGUCGAGGUUGGCGGAAUUCGUUGUGUAGCGGUGAAAUGCAUAGAUAUGACGAAGAACACCGAUUGCGUAGGCAGCUGACCAGAUCGCAAAUGACGCUCAUGCACGAAAGUGCGGGGAUCGAACAGUAUUAGAUACCCUGGUAGUCCGCACAGUAAACGAUGAAUACUUGUUUUCGGCGAUAUAAUGUCGGAGGCAAAGCGAAAGCGAUAAGUAUUCCACCUGGGGAGUACGCCGGCAACGGUGAAACUCAAAGGAAUUGACGGGG
rnacentral:rRNA from 1 species